rnacentral:rRNA from 1 species
UACGUAGGUGGCAAGCGUUGUUCGGAAUUAUUGGGCGUAAAGGGCGCGUAGGCGGCCACCGCAAGUCGACUGUGAAAUCUCCGGGCUUAACCCGGAAAGGUCAGCCGAUACUGCGGGGCUAGAGUGCAGAAGGGGCAACUGGAAUUCUCGGUGUAGCGGUGAAAUGCGUAGAUAUCGAGAGGAACACCUGCGGCGAAGGCGGGUUGCUGGGCUGACACUGACGCUGAUGCGCGAAAGCUAGGGGAGCGAACGGG